rnacentral:tRNA from 1 species
UGGGUUGUGCCUCAGUGGUAGAGUGCCUGCCUAGCAUGCAGGAGGCACUGGGUUCAAUCCUCAGCACCAUAU